rnacentral:rRNA from 1 species
CUGGCUCAGAACGAACGCUGGCGGCAGGCUUAACACAUGCAAGUCGAGCGCCCACUCGGUGGGAGCGGCAGACGGGUGAGUAACACGUGGGAAUCUACCCAUCUCUACGGAACAACUCCGGGAAACUGGAGCUAAUACCGUAUACGCCCUUUGGGGGGAAAGAUUUAUCGGAGAUGGAUGAGCCCGCGUUGGAUUAGCUAGUUGGUGGGUAAAGGCCUACCAAGGCGACGAUCCAUAGCUGGUCUGAGAGGAUGAUCAGCCACACUGGGACUGAGACACGGCCCAGACUCCUACGGGAGGCAGCAGUGGGGAAUAUUGGACAAUGGGCGCAAGCCUGAUCCCAGCCAUGCCGCGUGAGUGAUGAAGGCCCUAGGGUUGUAAAGCUCUUUCACCGGUGAAGAUAAUGACGGUAACCGGAGAAGAAGCCCCGGCUAACUUCGUGCCAGCAGCUGC